CCUACGGGAGGCAGCAGUGAGGAAUAUUGGUCAAUGGGCUUACGCCUGAACCAGCCAAGUCGCGUGAGGGAAGACUGCCCUAUGGGUUGUAAACCUCUUUUGUCAGGGAGCAAUUUGCGCUACGUGUAGCGUUAUCUAGAGUACCUGAAGAAAAAGCAUCGGCUAACUCCGUGCCAGCAGCCGCGUUAAUACGGGGGAUGCGAGGGUUAUCCGGAUUUAUUGGGUUUAAGGGGUGCGUAGUCGGAUGGCCAAGUCAGCGGUAAAAUCGCCGGGCUAAACCUCGAACCGCAGUUGAAACUGGCGUUCUUGAGUGGGCGAGAAGUGUGCGGAAUGCGUGGUGUAGCGGUGAAAUGCUUAGAUAUCACGAAGAACUCCGAUUGCGAAGGCAGUAUACCGGCGCCCAACUGACGCUGAAGCACGAAAGCGUGGGUAUCGAACAGGAUUAGAUACCCUGGUAGUC
rnacentral:rRNA from 1 species